rnacentral:tRNA from 1 species
UCAAUACCAUUUUGGCAGAAAUUUAUUGCAAAAGACUUAGAAUCUUAUUAACCCGUU